rnacentral:rRNA from 1 species
ACGUACUGUGCGAACGUUAUUCGGAAUCACUGGGCUUAAAGGGUGCGUAGGCGGCGAUUCAAGUCAGAUGUGAAAUGCCUGAGCUCAACUGAGGCAUUGCGUUUGAAACUGAUUCGCUGGAGUAUUUCAGGGGUGUGCGGAACUGCCAGUGGAGCGGUGAAAUGUGUUGAUAUUGGCAGGAACACCGGAGGCGAAAGCGGCACACUGGGGAAUAACUGACGCUGAGGCACGAAAGCCAGGGGAGCGAACGGGAUUAGAUACCCCGGUAGUCCUGGCUGUAAACGAUGAGCACUGGGCGGGAGGGGGUUUCCCUUUUCUGCCGUAGCGAAAGCGUUAAGUGCUCCGCCUGGGGAGUAUGGUCGCAAGGCUG